UGAAGGAGGAGCCGCUGCUGCCCGCCGGCCUGGGCUCAGUGCGCUCCUGGAUGCAGGGCGCGGGCAUCCUGGACGCCAGCACCGCGGCGCAGAGUGGCGUGGGUCUGGCACGAGCACAUUUUGAGAAGCAGCCUCCCUCCAACCUCAGGAAAUCCAACUUCUUCCACUUCGUGCUGGCCAUGUACGACCGGCAGGGGCAGCCCGUGGAGGUGGAGCGCACAGCCUUCAUCGACUUCGUGGAAAAGGACCGAGAGCCCGGGGCGGAAAAGACUAACAAUGGGAUCCAUUACCGCCUCCGGCUGGUGUAUAACAAUGGACUGCGGACGGAGCAAGACCUCUACGUGCGUCUCAUUGACUCCAUGUCCAAGCAGGCCAUCAUCUAUGAGGGGCAGGACAAGAACCCCGAAAUGUGCCGAGUGCUGCUCACCCACGAGAUCAUGUGCAGGUUCUUCCUCAAGUUCUUCCUCAAAUGCAACCAGAACUGCCUGAAGAAUGCGGGGAAUCCCAGAGACAUGCGCCGCUUCCAGGUGGUGGUGUCCACGACGGU
rnacentral:sRNA from 1 species